GACGAACGCUGGCGGCGUGCCUAAUACAUGCAAGUAGAACGCUGAAGAGAGGAGCUUGCUCUUCUUGGAUGAGUUGCGAACGGGUGAGUAACGCGUAGGUAACCUGCCUUGUAGCGGGGGAUAACUAUUGGAAACGAUAGCUAAUACCGCAUAACAAUGGAUGACACAUGUCAUUUAUUUGAAAGGGGCAAUUGCUCCACUACAAGAUGGACCUGCGUUGUAUUAGCUAGUAGGUGAGGUAAUGGCUCACCUAGGCGUCGAUACAUAGCCGACCUGAGAGGGUGAUCGGCCACACUGGGACUGAGACACGGCCCAGACUCCUACGGGAGGCAGCAGUAGGGAAUCUUCGGCAAUGGGGGCAACCCUGACCGAGCAACGCCGCGUGAGUGAAGAAGGUUUUCGGAUCGUAAAGCUCUGUUGUAAGUCAAGAACGGGUGUGAGAGUGGAAAGUUCACACUGUGACGGUAGCCUACCAGAAAGGGACGGCUAACUACGUG
rnacentral:rRNA from 1 species